rnacentral:rRNA from 1 species
AAUCUGGGUCGAUGGGGGCGACCCUGAUCCAGCCAUGCCGCAUGUGUGAAGAAGGUCNNNGGUUUNUGUAGCCCUCUAAGUUGNUACNAAUGGCAGUAACCCAAUACCUUGCUGCUUUCACGUUCGCUACCUAUCAAACACUGGCUGACUUUGACCCAGCAGCCGCGGUAAUACAGAGGGUGCAAGCGUUAAUCGGAAUUACUGGGGGUAAAGCGAGCGUAGGUGGUUUGUUAAGUUGGAAGUAAAAGCGCCGGGCUCAACCUGGGAACUGAUUGCAUAACUGCUGAGCUAGAGUACGGUAGAGGGUAGUGGAAUUUCCUGUGUAGCGGUGAAAUGCGUAGAUAUAGGAAGGAACACCAGUGGCGAAGGCGACUACCUGGACUGAUACUGACACUGAGGUGCGAAAGCGUGGGGAGCAAAC